GUUUUCGUGGCCUAGUGGUUAGGGCGCCUGUCUUACAAAGGGAAUCUUUCCAUCUAAGAUCACAGGAGAUCCCCGGUUCAAUCCCGGGCGGAAACA